GAUGAACGCUGGCGGCGUGCCUAACACAUGCAAGUCGAGCGAUUCUCUUCGGAGAAGAGCGGCGGACGGGUGAGUAACGCGUGGGUAACCUGCCCUGUACACACGGAUAACAUACCGAAAGGUAUGCUAAUACGGGAUAACAUAAGAAAUUCGCAUGUUUUUCUUAUCAAAGCUCCGGCGGUACAGGAUGGACCCGCGUCUGAUUAGCUAGUUGGUGAGGUAACGGCUCACCAAGGCGACGAUCAGUAGCCGACCUGAGAGGGUGAUCGGCCACAUUGGAACUGAGACACGGUCCAAACUCCUACGGGAGGCAGCAGUGGGGAAUAUUGCACAAUGGGCGAAAGCCUGAUGCAGCAACGCCGCGUGAGCGAUGAAGGCCUUCGGGUCGUAAAGCUCUGUCCUCAAGGAAGAUAAUGACGGUACUUGAGGAGGAAGCCCCGGCUAACUACGUGCCAGCCGCCGCGGUAA
rnacentral:rRNA from 1 species